CGCCGCGUCAGAGAAGAAGGUUUUCGGAUCGCAAAGCUCUGUUGUUCGGGAAGAACAAGUGCGAGAGCAACUGCUCGCACCUCGACGGUACCCAACCAGAAAGCCACGGCCAACUACGUGCCAGCAGCCGCGGCAAUACGUCGGUGGCAAGCGUUGUCCGGAAUUAUUGGGCGCAAAGGGCUCGCAGGCGGUUUCUCAAGUCAGAUGUGCAAGCCCCCGGCUCAACCGGGGAGGGUCAUUGGAAACUGGGAAACUUCAGUGCAGAAGAGGAGAGUGGAAUUCCACGAGAAGCGGAGAAAUGCGCAGAGAUGUGGAGGAACACCAGUGGCGAAGGCGACUCUCUGGUCUGCAACAGACGCUGAGGAGCGAAAGCGUGGGGAGCGAACAGGAUCAGAUACCCUGGUCGUCCACGCCGUCAACGAUCAGUGCAAAGUGUUCGGGGGUUUCCGCCCCUCAGUGCUGCAGCUCACGCAUACAGCACUCCG
rnacentral:rRNA from 1 species